rnacentral:rRNA from 1 species
AGGGUUUGAUCAUGGCUCAGAACGUACGCUGGCGGCACGCCUAACACAUGCAAGUCGAACGCAGUAGCAAUACUGAGUGGCAGACGGGUGAGUAUAAUGUGGGAAUCUGCCUUUUGGUUUGGAAUAACACGGGGAAACUUGUGCUAAUACCGAAUAAGCCCUUACGGGGAAAGUUUUAACGCCGAAAGAUGAGCCUGCACUUGAUUAGCUAGUUGGUAAGGUAAAAGCUUACCAAGGCAACGAUCAAUAGCUGUUCUUAGAGGAAGACCAGCCACAUUGGGACUGAGACACGGCCCAGACUCCUACGGGAGGCAGCAGUGGGGAAUCUUGCACAAUGGGGGAAACCCUGAUGCAGCGAUGCCGCGUGAGUGAAGAAGGCCUUUGGGUUGUAAAACUCUUUCGUCGGGGAAGAAAAUGACUGUACCCGAAUAAGAAGGUCCGGCUAACUUCGUGCCAGCAGCCGCGGUAAUAC